rnacentral:rRNA from 1 species
UACGAAGGGUGCAAGCGUUACUCGGAAUUACUGGGCGUAAAGCGUGCGUAGGUGGUUCGUUAAGUCUGAUGCGAAAGCCCUGGGCUCAACCUGGGAAUGGCAUUGGAUACUGGCGACCUAGAGUGCGGUAGAGGGGUGUGGAAUUCCCGGUGUAGCAGUGAAAUGCGUAGAUAUCGGGAGGAACAUCUGUGGCGAAGGCGACACCCUGGACCAGCACUGACACUGAGGCACGAAAGCGUGGGGAGCAAACAGG